AUCGGAUCUGAGCCCUCCGCGCCCACCAGCUCUCACGCCCGCCCCACCCCGCCGACGCAUGGGCCCGUUCCGCGCGGAGGGCCACGCGGCAGCGGCUCUGCCCGGGCACAUGGCCGGUCGCGCCCGCUCACGAGCACCCCUCCCCCCGCGGUUAUUUCUACCGGGCCGAGCCGCGCUUGGAGAGGGCAGAGCCAGCAGAGAGGCGGGCCAGACUAGACUAGACUAGAUCUCGUAGCGGGGUCUCCGGCCGCCUCUCCCCCCCCCCCUACCGGGGCGAGCACGCCCUGCUGGCCGCCGGCGGCCUGCUCGGUCGUCGGUGAGUACGCGCAGCGGCCCGAAGAGGCGCGUGCUCGCUCCAAGGGCGAGGGGGGAGGCGCCGGAUCUCGCGGGGCAAGUGCGCCAGCGACCUGAGGUAUCUUGGUGUAGAAUGAAGUGAAGAGGGCAGAGUAUCUUGGUCUUAUUAAUCAAUGCAUCAUAUUAUGUGCGCAAUAAGAUUUUGCUAUGCUUUCACCGUCGAUGCCCACUGGUUGGAUCAUGCUUCUGUUUAUGAGCUCAUUGAAGUAACUCUCUCGUAGCUCAAAUGGGCCAAUUUCUCGUUUGCGUGGCACACAAAACCUUCAGCUAUCCAUCUCCAUAUCAGUUGGUCUCUCUUAAAUUUGUAAUCUUCUGGAAAUAUGCUUAAGUAUAAUAAAUGAUGCGAAGGUAGAUCAUAGAACAUGAACACAUGGUGUAAAAGAGGCACUCAUGCACCAAAACUAUAAAAAGCAGCAAAGAAAAUGAGUAAAAGAGGCACUUGACUUGUAGAUUAUACAAGAGUGAUGAUCUGGAAGUCAACCCUCUUUUAUCAGUAGUUUUGAUCUACCUUCUCAUCUAUAGGAUUAGUUAUUAUGUCUAAGCAUGUUUUUAGAAGAUUAGAAGAUUAAGCAAGCUCAUUCGAUAUGUAAGGUGGAUAGUUUGAGGUUUUGUUUAUCAUGAAAAACAAGGGAUUAGCAAGUUUGAGCUCGGUGGUAGAAUUGCUCAAUGAGAUCGUGAAUAGGAGCAUGAUUCAACCAAUUGACAUCAAUGUUGACAAAGGCAUGGAAAAAUCUUAUCGUAUACAUGAUAUGGUGAUUGAUUUCAUGUGCUGAAGAAAAACACUUGUGGCACUGAGUGAAAGCGGUCUAUCCAAAGGCAAGAUUUGAAGAUUAUCCACCCGAAAGAGCACUACAGGUAGCAGUGAUGUGACAAUGUGGUCUCUUGCAAUUGUUGAUUCAGUGUAGAUUAUAUUGAGUGUUCCAAGUUCUACAUGCCCUGGAUAUAGAAUAUUGUGCUGCAUGUCUCCAUUCUUGGCAAUCACAAUGAUUCAAGAAUACUGUGUUUGCUAGGACAUGAAGCUCCCAUUGUAUUUCUAACCACUAAUUCUGAAUUAAUAGUCAUGAAUCUCUUGGUGUAUUUGUACCAACUUUGCUGAA